rnacentral:rRNA from 1 species
AGUCACUGACAUUAGAUACCCGCGUAGUCCCAGCCGUAAACUAUGCGCGUUAGGUGUACUGGUGACCACGAGUCACCGGGGUGCCGCAGGGAAGCCGUGAAGCGAGCCACCUGGGAAGUACGGCCGCAAGGCUGAAACUUAAAGGAAUUGGCGGGGAGCACAACAACGGGUGGAGCCUGCGGUUUAAUUGGACUCAACGCCGGACAACUCACCGGGGACGACAGCAAUAUGUAGGCCAGGCUGAAGACCUUGCCUGAAUCGCUG